CCAACGGGGGGCUGCAGUGGGGAAUAUUGCGCAAUGGGCGAAAGCCUGACGCAGCGACGCCGCGUGAGGGAAGAAGGCCUUCGGGUCGUAAACCUCUGUCUAGAGGGAAGAAACCAUUGAGGUCGAACAGGCCUCUUUGCUGACGGUACCUCUGAAGGAAGCACCGGCUAACUCCGUGCCAGCAGCCGCGGUAAUCCGGAGGGUGCGAGCGUUAAUCGGAAUCACUGGGCGUAAAGCGCACGUAGGCGGUGUCGUAAGUCGGAUGUGAAAGCCCUCGGCGCAACCGGGGAACUGCAUUAGAUACUGCGAUGCUUGAGUGCCGGAGAGGGUGGCGGAAUUCCAGGUGUAGGAGUGAAAUCCGUAGAUAUCUGGAGGAACACCAGUGGCGAAGGCGGCCACCUGGCCGGCAACUGACGCUGAGGGACGAAAGCGUGGGGAUCAAACA
rnacentral:rRNA from 1 species